CGGAGCGUGAAAUCCCAAGGCGGGAUGGCCGCGUGAGAAGCGGUCGACUGGCGAGAGCCGGUUCCGGUUCGAUUCCGCCGCGCUCCGCCCA
rnacentral:tRNA from 1 species